AGCCACCGUGGCUUGGAGGUCAUUUUGCCAGGACUCGUGUGUAGAGGCAGCGUUGGUUCAAGAUGGCAGCAUCCAUGAAACCACACAAGAAUAAAAGAGAAAGGAGAGAGAGUAAUUAGAAGAAAAAGGGUACAUAUCGGCACAAACAUUCAGAUCUGAGCAGUGGAAGUUAGACGCGACAGAGAGCAGAAAACAAUCAGGGACGUGAACAAAACAAGUCAGUUUGAUUCAAAUAUAGUAAGUUUAAUGUUAGACACUGCUUCUAAUUAGUAAUCAUGUUUUAAUGUUCAUGUCAAGGAUAUGUUUACAGGAGAUCAGUCGGGUUUCUGUUACAUUUCACAAAAAAGAACAGAAGAGUUUACAAGCUGGGACCGCCAAUGUUUCUGAGUCAGGCUGAGGUCAACUGUUCUACAGAGUCAACCUGAAUGGUACUGGUUCUUUAUUAAAUGAUCAUUUAUCAACGCCUGGCAUAAAUAUUUAAUAAUACCUCCCAGAAAAACUUCAGACUGCUGUUAUAAUUUGUAGAAACAAAAUCACGGAUGUGAGGCAAACUGGUUUAAAUACCAGCUGAAUAUUCUGACUUUGUAAAACAUUCCUCAGACAUAUUAAAAGACGUAACUAUUCACACCUUUUUUUUUUUUCAGCUCAAACAUUAUAUUAUAUGACAUCUUUUAUGGGAUCUGUGAUUGCAGAAGAAACAUUUGAGCACUGUUUGCUAAGUGGAGAGACACAUUAUUAUCUAAUGAUUUCAUCAGCAAACCUACUGUGAAUUGAUGAUAUGAGAAAUUGUCCACUUGAGGUUUUCCUGUAGAUACCGACUGCUCUACUGGAAGCACUACAGAGGGUGGUUGGAACAGCAGAGGUCAUCACUGGGAGCAGUCCCCACCCAUCCAGGACAUUUACCACAGCUGUGUGCGUAAAGCAUCGUCAAGGACCACGCUUACCCAGCAUAAGGACUUUUCUGUCUUCUACCUUCUGGCAGGCCAGCAUGCACAAAAAGACUUGAAGACAGUUAUUAUCCACAAGCUGUCAGACUACUGAACUCUUGGCAAUAAUAUUGCAAUAAGCCACAUUUGUGACACUUUAUUUGCUUGCUGCUGCAGCACAAUGUGUACAUUUUUUUUAUUGCAUGCUAUCAGUAUUUGUUUUAUAGCUAGACGGACGGUUGUUCUUAUCUUAAGCAUUUCAUUGCAUUGUUCACUUUGUUUUACCCUGCAUA